GGGCCCGCACAAGCGGUGGAGUAUGUGGUUUAAUUCGAUGCAACGCGAAGAACCUUACCAGGGUUUGACAUCCUGCGAAUCUCUUGGAAACAGGAGAGUGCCUUCGGGAACGCAGUGACAGGUGGUGCAUGGCUGUCGUCAGCUCGUGUCGUGAGAUGUUGCGUUAAGUCGCGCAACGAGCGCAACCCCUGUCCUUAGUUUCCAUCAUUUAGUUGGGCACUCUAGGGAGACAAACCCUCUCUGAGGGUGGGAAGGUGGGACGACGUCAAGUCAGGAUGGCCCUUACGGUUUUGGGCUGCACACGUGCUACAAUGCCUGGUACAGAGGGAAGCAAUACCGUGAGUGGAGCAAAUCCUCAAAACCCAGGCC
rnacentral:rRNA from 1 species